rnacentral:lncRNA from 1 species
ACUUUAUUAUUACUACUACUCCAUUAAACAAAACAACAGUUCAAAUUUGACGAAACAAAAUCAUUGAAUCCACCAGCUAGUCUCUCUUCCUCCCAAUACAACACAUCAAAUAAAAGAGUUUACUCAGCAACUGCAGAAUUAAAAAGAAAAGGAACCAGCCUCUGAGCUUCUCUCACACACACUCAACUGACUGACAAACUCUUUAAUGCCACCAUCAGUCUCCUCUUCUUCUAUUCCAAAAACUGUCCUCCACCUUCUAACCAAAACACCAAAAGUUUCUCUCUUUAGUGGUUUCUUUGCUUUGUGGUGAAGGUGUUACAUUCUAGCAGUAGAAUUUACAACUUAACAAAGCACCCCUUUUUCUUCCUGUAUAUCUCCAAGCAGUGAGAAUGUUUCCUUUUUCUCUUUACCUAUUUCAGUAAACAUUCUUCUUUAAGCUUUCUGUUUGCUGGAUUUUGUUUCUUUUCUGUCACAUAUGCAAUUUGCAUUUCAUUUCCUCACACCCUCUUUUCAUUUCUUGAUUUUAUUACAACUCAACUGUCGGUUCUUUUGUUUUGGUUGUUGGUGGAGAUUUUUAUUUGAAAAUGUUACUGCAUAUAUUAAUCACAAACUCAAUGCAUGACCCGAC